GAGUGUCGCAGGAUAAUGUGUUUGCUGCAGAUGCCAUUUGAAAAUAUAGGCAGUGUAAGCACUGUAGAAUCUAAUUAUUUCUUUGCAAAACCUAAUUAGGCAUUAAAAAAGGUUAACGCCAGCGCCUGAAACGUUUUUGUUUAAUAAUCCCAUUACUGACGGCUCAUCAUGUAUAAAAUGGUGCAGGAGGACUCUAAGUUUCCACUUGUUAAAGGGAAUCUCUGAGAAAUAGUCGCAGACUUUUUGACACUAUCUGCGAUUGGGAAUUAGGGCUUGUAAUUAAACUGCGGGGACUCAACUCAGCACACAGAAACUCACAGAACGGCGAGAACAGAACUUGAUGAUCCUUUGUUUUUUUAAGCGUCAGCUCUUCUGGAGCCAUUACCAGUCACUAGAGAGAUCAAGGUGAGAAUUUAAAUGAGACAUUUUCUGCCGCAGUUUUAAUUUGAACGGGCUUCUGAGCGACCGUCAGACCCCGAGAGACGUUUUCAGUGGGAGAAAUGUGUCCAGAAAUACUAAAUAAUGAAUAUGUACAGCAGCAGAAUAUUAAAGGAGCAUUACAGUGAUGCAGGAUAGUCGUUGAGGAACGUCAGAGACACUCAACGUAUACACGAGGGGGUAUGACUGAAACUUCUGAUAAGAAAAUAAGACUUUUUUAAUAUUUAAUAAAAUAUUAGAAGUAAGACGAACAUACAGCCCUUUAUAAAAUAAAAUAGAGGGUUUUACGCGUCAUCGAAAGGAUAAUCCUGUGAAAAGGUUGUGAUUUCCCUCUUUUCUCGUUCUAGUUUUACCACAAAGAGAAGUUACUACAUCUUAGAAUAAAUAUACAUAUUUCGAUUAAUAGAAUACAAUAAAUAUAGUAAAUAAUCUAAAACUAAAUUAUGGUUGUAUCAUUUGAAUGGUUUAUUUUCGGAUAAAAAAGAAAUAAAAUAAGACAGAAAAAGAUAUUGCAUUAUUUUUCUUUCUUUUGAGAACGAAUCUUAUUUUCAGCCAUAUAAUAAUAAUAAUAAUAAUAACAACCAAACGAUUAUGGCUAUUAUUCCCGUUGUUAUAAUGAUGCUAUUCGUAUUGUAGUAUUUAAUGGAAAUAUUUAAGACAGUUACGAAUUUAUAGACAACAAGAAUACUACAAUUACACUACGCCUAGUAAUACUAACAAUGUACUUCGGAUAUCAUGGCUUUCUCUACGGGAACGAAACGCGGAUCAACCUGCGCUCACUUUAACACUUUAUUUACCGCUUUCCUUCAAAGCCGUUCGGAAGAAUAAAAAAAGAACAGAAUAGAGAGUGAGUGACAGACCAAAGCCAACGCUUUCUAAGAGAAGUAAACCGCCGUUUAUGCUCAAAGACACUUGUAAUCGCUCUGUCUCAGUCUCUGGGUCCAUUCGGCCCAAAACAAAUAGGGUGUGGUGUGAGAGAGGAAAAUCGGGACAAGCGAGGAAGACGACGGGAAGAAAGAGCUGGUGCGAUGGGGAGGAACCGAAGGACACGGUGCAUUUCCUUCAAACUGGUAAAAGAGACAAUAAAGAGAGUUAUCAACAGACUUCUGCGCCUUUUAUCUCUUUGUUGGAGGAUCUGAGAAGGCGUUCCACGCGAUUACUUCAUGAUGAGAAUGAAUUCCCCUGUCUCUGUUAUAUUGUAGGCCUCCAACAUAUGAAAGAACCCACUUGAAAACCUGCAGGUUGGGUCGUGCUCACCUUUUUGCCUUGUGGCUUUUGUGGCGUUUCCUAUAAAGGAAACAUUUGCAAAACAGCCACUAAGAAUCCAAGAGAUCCUCUUGCACGAGGAUCUCUCCUCUUGGGUGUUUUAUUUCCUCAAGGCUCUCGCUUUAUUGCUGCUGUUCAGUGCUUUUGUUGAGUCUGAAUAUUCUUUUUUUUUAAAUUUGAGAAUAUGAUGACCAGUCUUUUGGUACAAAUGUGUUGACAUCGAGUAUUUGCAUCGAAUGCCAAAAGCAGCGUGUUGCUUCUAUCGGAGGCUCAAGCUAAACAAACAAGCUUCUUGGUCAUCUGGAUUUAACAAUAAACUCAAAUUAAAAACGAUUAGAAAAAAAAUACCCGUGUUGAAUCUUGUCGUUGGGCCAUCUCGGCAUCAUGAUUGUUCCAAUUUGUUCGGAGAAAAACGCGAGUCUUAUUUUGGGAAAAUCCUCUCUAUUUUAUCGCAGGGAAUUUAGGCUCGACUUUCGGCCUCUCGGCUUCCGUCUGCGCUGAUCCGGCUUACAGAGAAGACCGGUCCAUCUCCUCCCUUUCUUCCUUAUUUACUCAGAACUCCUUUGUUAUAUUGCCUUUGCGUGUGAGCAAAGGUGAAACAGCUCCUGAAAUCUGCUGCUUCAAACUUUUGUUAUAAAAAAAAAGUCAGGAAAAACGGAAAAAACUUUCUGCAGAUUUUGGAAUGAGAGCUGAACAAAAAUACAUCCCUUAAGAUUGAGAGUGUGUGCAUGAACGUUUAUCUUCAUAUCUUCAAUGGAUUUUCAGGAAUGAGCAGCCUUGUGUUUAUUUCGAAUUAAUCACAAUCAUAUUACUAAAUAUGUAUUUAAAAUAACUAACACGUUCAUUAUUUGUAGAAGCGACAUUGGUCUGACACAAUUGUGUUGAUUUAUUCUGUGUUUGGUGUAAAAACAGCGCUUCCUACCAGGGAGGGAGUGUGAUGCUAACAAUGGGCCUGGAGCCAAAACCUAUUGACACAGAAGGCAGAGGGAAUCUACCAGAAAGCUGACUUUUUAGCUUCCUGGCUGCGAUUGGCCGGCUGUCUGGGCAGUGAUAGCAGCCCUGGAGCCGAGGAUGAUUGAUGACGGCGAGGGCAAGACCGAGCGCUGGCAGCAUAAAGCCACAUCGACGCCUCAAUAAAGAGCCUGGCUAGUGGAGAGCCUGGGCCCCGCUCAAUAGGGCCCCUUUCGCCUCCGAGGACCCACGGCCAGAGGACUACAUGGAGGGAGAGAGAGAGAGAGAGAGAGAGAGAGAGAGAAGGAAAGGUACUCUGUUGUUAGAUAAUCUGUUUAGCUAUCGAGCCAGCAGCCGUCUGAGGCUGGAUAAGUGCAGCGACGGAUGUGUGUGGGGUGAAAAUAGCAGGGGUUGGCUGGUGGAGUGCUGGAGGGGUGUGAGGGGGGGGGGAUGUGGAGAGGGAGAAAAAGAGAGGGAGAGAUGGAUCAUCCAGUCUCAGGAUUUAUAAUGGUGGAUGAGGGGUGGGGGGUGGGAUCUGCAGAAUGCUUUUCACACGAGCUGGAAAAGAUCCCCAAAAGUUGACCGCGAGAAAGUGAUUCUGCUGCUGCUGCUGCUGCUGCCGCCAGUCAGCCUACAGAUUCAGGACUGUCGUGACCUCUGCUUCAGCAGAUCAAUGAGACCCUGUUGGGUUGGAUUCCACCGGUGCAGCGUCCACCGCUGUGGCCCCGGUCCGCAGGCCUCCCUGCGGUAACCUCCCCCCCCCCUCCCCCUCCAGUGCACAGCGGCUCUGAAAAGCACAAUUAGGCAGCAAUCUGCUCCCACCAAGCCAGCUUUCAGUGACUCCAGCAUGGAGACACGGUGUCCUGCAGACCCUCCCUGGCUGGAGUUGGCAGGACGGAGGUCUGAGAGUGAUGGCCUGGUCAGCGUCGUCACCCUGCAGGGAGCACGGAGUUCAAGGAGGAGAAGUUGUUUUGUAUCCGUGGCAAUGUGUUGCACUUACUUAAUCAGAUUUGCUGACUGACUCAGACAAAAAUAAAGCAUUUGAACAAAAUGAAACAAGAGGCUGUAAUUGUUUUUCUAUCAAAGCUAAAAUGUAAUAAUUUUUUGCAACGCUUUGUUGUAAUGAGUAUUGAUUUUCAUUUGAAUCUCUUUCAAAUAAAUCUACACAAAGUAA